rnacentral:rRNA from 1 species
GAUGAACGCUAGCGGCAGGCCUAAUACAUGCAAGUCGAACGGUGUCUUCGGACAUAGUGGCGCACGGGUGCGUAACACGUAUGCAACCUACCUUACAUUGGGGGAUAGCCUUUCGAAAGGGAGAUUAAUACCGCAUAAGACAGUAGCUGGGCAUCCAGCAGCUGUUAAAGAUUUAUCGAUGUAAGCUGCGCAUGCGUCCAAUUAGCUAGUUGGUGAGGUAAUAGCUCACCAAGGCAAUGAUUGGUAGGGGAACUGAGAGGUCAAUCCCCCACACUGUCACUGAGCUACGGGCCAGACUCCUACGGGAGGCAGCAGUAGGGAAUAUUGGGCAAUGGACGCAAGUCUGACCCAGCCAUGCCGCGUGCAGGAUGAAGGCGUUAUGCGUUGUAAACUGCUUUUAUACAGGAAGAAACGACUCUUGCGAGAGGCAUUGACGGUACUGUAUGAAUAAGCACCGGCUAACUCCGUGCCAGCCGCCGCCGUAACAC